rnacentral:rRNA from 1 species
GAUUAACGCUGGCGGCAUGCCUAAUACAUGCAAGUCGAACGAGAAUUUAUUCUAGUGGCGAACGGGUGAGUAAUGUAUUUCUAACCUGCCCUAGAGAGUGGGAUAACUAUUGGAAACGAUAGCUAAUACCGCAUAGGAUAUUGGAGGGCAUCCUCUAAUGUUUAAAGGUGCGUUUGCACCACUUUGGGAUGGGGAAAUAUCACAUUAGCCUGUUGGCGGGGUAAAGGCCCACCAAGGCGAUGAUGUGUAGCCGAGCUGAGAGGUUGAUCGGCCACAAUGGGACUGAGGCACGGCCCAUACUCCUACGGGAGGCAGCAGUAGGGAAUUUUCCACAAUGGACGAAAGUCUGAUGGAGCAAUGCCGCGUGAGGGAUGACGGUCUUCGGAUUGUAAACCUCUGUUGUAAGGGAAGAACAAGCAGGAUAGGAAAUGAUCUUGCUCUGACGGUACCUUACCAGAAAGUCACGGCUAACUAUGUGCCAGCAGCCGCCGUAA